rnacentral:tRNA from 1 species
GGUCCACUGGCACAAUGGACAACGUGCCUGACUGCGGAUCAGGAGACGGCAGCUUCGACUCCUGCCUGGCUCA